AUUGAACGCUGGCGGCAGGCCUAACACAUGCAAGUCGAGCGGAGCGGUGGACGGGUGAUUACUGCCUAGGAAUAUGCCUGGUAGUGGGGGAUAACGCCCGUAAACGGGCGCUAAUACCGCAUACUAUCAGAUGAGCCUAGGCCGGAUUAGCUAGUUGGUGGUGUAAAGGCCUACCAAGGCGACGAUCCGUAACUGGGCAGCGAGGAGGAUCAGGCACACUGGAACUGAGACACGGUCCAGACUCCUACGGGAGGAAGCAGUGGGGAAUAUUGGACAAGGGGCGAAAGCCUGAUCCAGCCAUGCCGCGGGUGUGAAGAAGGUCUUCGGAUUGUAAAGCACUUUAAGUUGGGAGGCGUUACCAACAGAGUAAGCACCGGCUAACUUCGUGCCAGCAGCCGCGGUAAUUC
rnacentral:rRNA from 1 species